AUGGUUUGUGCAAUAAAUUUAGUUAAUGCAAAUGUCUACACUUUUCCAGAUGUUGAAUUUCAAUCCUACCUUGUGGAUCGGAAUCAUGGUGAUGGAACUUGCACUAAUGACACUCAUGACAGAGUAUACAUGAACCUGCCCAAAAAGCACCAUGUCCUUCGAAAAGUUAGCGACUGCUGCCACUGUGGAGCAUUGCGGUUUCAAUACGAGGGGCCUGCAUUUUGUUGCAGAAAGGGCAAGGUGGGUGUGUUUACUCCGGAAGUUUCUGACGAGUUGAAACGGUUGUUUACAAGUCAAUCGGAUGAGGAUGCUAAAUAUUUCAGAGAGAAUAUACGUUAUUUCAACUCUCACUUCUCAUUCACAACUCUUGGUGUCACUCUUGAUCGACAAGUGAGCACUGCCGUAGGAACCGACGUCUACACUUUUCAUGUGUGUGGCCAGUUGUACCACGCUCUUGAUGAUCUGAUGUCCGGUGAAUAUGGCCCUCGACAUUUGCAGCUAUAUAUUUACGAUACGGAUGAAAACUUGAUUCACAGGGUUAAGAGGUCUCCAGAUCUUAGGCUAGAUCUCAUACAGAAGAUUCUGACAAUACUACAACAUAACCCUUAUGCUCAAGCUUUUAGAAGCAUUGGUGCUGUUCCGAAUCUGGAUGAAUAUAGGAUCUCACUGGACAUAGAAAUCAACCUUGAUCAGCGAAGGUACAAUGCGCCAACUACUUCGCAAGUAGCAGCAAUAUGGGUUGAAGGAAGUGACCCUCAAAAUAGCUUUGAUAGGAGUGUUGUCGUGUACGGCAAAGGAGAUCGUCCUGUGUAUAUUAGAGCAUACUUUGUCAUAUCCACUAUUCUUCCCACGUGGGGAGAUCGGUUGGAAUCGUUGGAUGCCAUAUAUUGGGCUCCCCGAUGCCACAACCCAAGGUUCAGUGCAUGA
rnacentral:rRNA from 1 species